GCUGGGCGCAGUGAUGCAUGCCUGUAAUCCCAGCACCUCAGGAGGCUGAGGCAGGAAGAUCGAAAGUUCAAAGGCAGCCUCAGCAACUUAGCAAGGCCCUAAGCAACUUAGCAAGACCCUGUCUCUA
rnacentral:sRNA from 1 species